rnacentral:misc_RNA from 1 species
GUGAAUCAUCAAAUCUUUGAACGCAAAUUGCACUCUCUGGUAUUCCGGAGAGUAUGCCUGUUUGAGGGUCAGUUUAAAUAAAAAUCGGUGUGGUUGCUGCCUUUCGUGGUGACGUACCGGAUUUGGGUCGUCUUGCCUUCGGUUAAGUGACCUAAAAUUUUGCAUGAUUUUUUCGAACGUAUUUAAAUGACUUUACUAAGUUUUGGAAUACGGAAUACUAGGUUUGGUAAUCC